GAUGAAGAACGUAGCGAAAUGCGAUAAGUAAUGUGAAUUGCAGAAUUCAGUGAAUCAUCGAGUCUUUGAACGCACAUUGCGCCCCCUGGUAUUCCGGGGGGCAUGCCUGUUCGAGCGUCAUUUCACCACUCAAGCCUCGCUUGGUAUUGGGCAACGCGGUCCGCCGCGUGCCUCAAAUCGACCGGCUGGGUCUUCUGUCCCCUAAGCGUUGUGGAAACUAUUCGCUAAAGGGUGUUCGGGAGGCUACGCCGUAAAACAACCCCAUUUCUAAGGUUGACCUCGGAUCAGGUAGGGAUACCCGCUGAACUUAAGCAUAUCAAUAAGCGGAGGA
rnacentral:misc_RNA from 1 species